rnacentral:rRNA from 1 species
UGGGGAAUAUUGCACAAUGGGCGCAAGCCUGAUGCAGCCAUGCCGCGUGUAUGAAGAAGGCCUUCGGGUUGUAAAGUACUUUCAGCGGGGAGGAAGGCGAUGUGGUAAUAACCGCGUCGAUUGACGUUACCCGCAGAAGAAGCACCGGCUAACUCCGUGCCAGCAGCCGCGGUAAUACGGAGGGUGCAAGCGUUAAUCGGAAUUACUGGGCGUAAAGCGCACGCAGGCGGUCUGUCAAGUCGGAUGUGAAAUCCCCGGGCUCAACCUGGGAACUGCAUCCGAAACUGGCAGGCUUGAGUCUCGUAGAGGGGGGUAGAAUUCCAGGUGUAGCGGUGAAAUGCGUAGAGAUCUGGAGGAAUACCGGUGGCGAAGGCGGCCCCCUGGACGAAGACUGACGCUCAGGUGCGAAAGCGUGGGGAGCAAACA